rnacentral:rRNA from 1 species
UACGAAGGGGGCUAGCGUUGCUCGGAAUGACUGGGCGUAAAGGGCGCGUAGGCGGCUUGGCAAGUCAGGCGUGAAAUUCCUGGGCUCAACCUGGGGGCUGCGCUUGAGACUGCUGGGCUUGAGGAUGGAAGAGGCUCGUGGAAUUCCCAGUGUAGAGGUGAAAUUCGUGGAUAUUGGGAAGAACACCGGUGGCGAAGGCGGCGAGCUGGCCCGAUACUGACGCUGAGGCACGAAAGCGUGGGGAGCAAACAGG